rnacentral:sRNA from 1 species
GAUGAGAGGUACGCCUUCAAAUUCGACCACCCGUUAACAGGAGAAGCGACUGAUCGAGCAAGGGACGGAUAAUGUCGGGCCGAAGAACACAUGAACGUCGUGGUCC